rnacentral:rRNA from 1 species
CCUACGGGAGGCAGCAGUGAGGAAUAUUGGACAAUGGGCGCAAGCCUGAUCCAGCCAUGCCGCGUGCAGGAUGACGGUCCUAUGGAUUGUAAACUGCUUUUAUACGAGAAGAAACACUGCUUCGUGAAGCAGCUUGACGGUAUCGUAAGAAUAAGGAUCGGCUWACUCCGUGCCAGCAGCCGCGGUAAU